rnacentral:rRNA from 1 species
UACGGAGGGUGCGAGCGUUACCCGGAUUUACUGGGUGUAAAGGGCGUGUAGGCGGUCUCUCAAGUCCGAUGCUAAAGACCGAAGCUCAACUUCGGGGGUGCGUUGGAUACUGUGAGGCUAGACGGUCGGAGAGGGUAGCGGAACUUCCAGUGGAGCGGUGAAAUGCGUUGAUAUUGGAAGGAACGCCGGAGGCGAAAGCGGCGCACUGGAUCUCUUCUGACGCUGAGGCGCGAAAGCUAGGGGAGCAAACGGG